rnacentral:tRNA from 1 species
UCGGCAGUGGUUCAAACGGGAGAGCGGUAUAAGUCGAGUAUAAGGAUCGAAUAUACAGUUGCGGGUUCGAGUCCCGCCUGCCGAA